AGCUCCUUUGCUCAGCCGCAGAGGUGGAGGGACCGUGGGGACUUCGGGCCCUAGGGUCCGCAGAUGACAUGUCAGUCGAUAGGCAUUUAUUUUACUGUUCGAGGAAAACAAAUAAGGGUGCAGCUUAGGCGAAAAGAAAAACGUCUUAUUGCCAGUGACUAAUCUCCUAACAACGACAUGUGUCUCUGAGACUGUGUAUGUGGAUACACGUGUACUUAAAACAGCCCCGCCUGUGUGCAGAGCUCUUGCUGUACGUCAACGCUUUACAGGAGCUAUCGCACUUAAGCCUCAGAACAACUUUAUGAGGCCUAUUUCUAACAGGCUUGUUCAUGUGCAUUCUUAUUCUAUCCUGGAUUGGAAUCAGAAAAUUGGACAGUGUUGCAGGUACUGACUGAUGCAGGCACACCGACAGCCACAAAAGUGAGAACUGAAAGCACUAUAAGAAAUGUUGAAGAAAGUCCUUCAGACAGAAGGG